rnacentral:lncRNA from 1 species
GUUAUUUAUCUGUAAAUAUCAAGACUACGAAAUAGUGACUAAUGCAGUAUUCUUUUCUUAGAAUCUAGUGACGCACAAUCACCUUAAGUGGCUUGGACAUGUCCCUUGUUUACAACGCCUGAUGAUGUGUAUGUACCCUGCCUUUUGAUGUUUAACAUAUUGUUCUCCAGGAAAACAUUUCAUAACGACACACACUCAUAUUUUGAUUUCAGAAGUGACAAGUCUUUGUUUGAACUUCUAAAUGAACCAUGCUUGGCAAAAAAGUAGGAUAUGUCAAUUUUAAAGUGUUUAAUCUCACGCAGUCGACGACCAAACAACCUCCCGCAUUCGAAACGAAC